UCUGGCACCUUCGGUGUCCGAGUUGUAAUCUCUAGAAAUGUUUUCCGCGUUGGACCGCACACAAGUCUGUUGGAAUACAGCGGCAUAGUGGUGAGACCCCCGUAUAUGGUGCGGACGCCCAGCGCUUUGUGAUACAUUUUCGAAGAGUCGAGUUGUUUGGGAAUGCAGCUCAAAUUGGGUGGUAAAUUCCAUCUAAAGCUAAAUAUUGGCGAGAGACCGAUAGCGAACAAGUACCGUGAGGGAAAGAUGAAAAGCACUUUGGAAAGAGAGUUAACAGUACGUGAAAUUGUUGGAAGGGAAACGCUUGAAGUCAGACUUGCUUGCUGAGCAAUCGGUUUGCAGGCCAGCAUCAGUUUUCCGGGAUGGAUAAUGGUAGAGAGAAGGUAGCAGUUUCGGCUGUGUUAUAGCUCUCUGCUGGAUACAUCUUGGGGGACUGAGGAACGCAGUGUGCCUUUGGCGGGGGUUUCGACCUCUUCACACUUAGGAUGCUGGUGGAAUGGCUUUAAACGACCCGUCUUGAA
rnacentral:rRNA from 1 species